CGGGGUGUAGCGCAGUUGGUUAGCGCGCAGGGCUGGGGGUCCUGAGGUCGCUGGUUCGAAUCCAGUCACCCCGACCA
rnacentral:tRNA from 2 species